rnacentral:rRNA from 1 species
GAUGAACGCUGGCGGCGUGCCUAAUACAUGCAAGUCGAGCGAACGGACGAGAAGCUUGCUUCUCUGAUGUUAGCGGCGGACGGGUGAGUAACACGUGGAUAACCUACCUAUAAGACUGGGAUAACUUCGGGAAACCGGAGCUAAUACCGGAUGAUAUUUUGAACCGCAUGGUUCAAAAGUGAAAGACGGUCUUGCUGUCACUUAUAGAUAGAUCCGCGCUGCAUUAGCUAGUUGGUAAGGUAACGGCUUACCAAGGCAACGAUGCAUAGCCGACCUGAGAGGGUGAUCGGCCACACUGGAACUGAGACACGGUCCAGACUCCUACGGGAGGCAGCAGUAGGGAAUCUUCCGCAAUGGGCGAAAGCCUGACGGAGCAACGCCGCGUGAGUGAUGAAGGUCUUCGGAUCGUAAAACUCUGUUAUUAGGGAAGAACAUAUGUGUAAGUAACUGUGCACAGCUUGACGGUACCUAAUCAGAAAGCCACGGCUAACUACGUG